GACGAACGCUGUCGGCGUGCUUAACACAUGCAAGUCUAACGAAGUGGCGAACGGGUGAGUAACGCGUAAUCAACCUGCCCUUCAGAGGGGUACAACAGUUUGAAACGACUGCUAAUACCGCAUACUGAAGGAGGGGAUUUCGUCUGCUUAGCUAGUUGGAGGGGUAACGGCCCACCAAUGCGAGGAUCAGUAGCGGGGCUGAGAGGAUGAACGGCCACAUUGGGACUGAGACACGGCCCAGACUCCUAAGGGAGGCAGCAGUGGGGAAUCUGCCGAAAUGGACGAAAGUCUGACGGAGCAACGCCGCGUGAGUGAGGACGGCUUUCGGGUUGUAAAGCUAUGUUAAUCGGGACGCGGUACCGGAAUAGAAAGCCAAGGAUAACUACGUGCCAGCAGCCGCGGUAAUAC
rnacentral:rRNA from 1 species